rnacentral:tRNA from 1 species
GGGCCUGUAGCUCAGCCUGGCAGAGCGUGAGAACAACACGCACAGAGAGCACCUGCCUCUUAAGCAGGGAGUCGCGAGUUCAAAUCUCGUCGGGCCCA